UACGGGGGGGGCAAGCGUUGUUCGGAAUUACUGGGCGUAAAGGGCGAGUAGGCGGCCUCCUAAGUCAGACGUGAAAUCCCCCGGCUUAACCUGGGAACUGCGUCUGAUACUGGGAAGCUUGAGUAUGGGAGAGGAAGGUAGAAUUCCAGGUGUAGCGGUGAAAUGCGUAGAUAUCUGGAGGAAUACCGGUGGCGAAGGCGGCCUUCUGGACCAUAACUGACGCUGAUCCGCGAAAGCUAGGGGAGCAAACGGG
rnacentral:rRNA from 1 species